rnacentral:rRNA from 1 species
AGAGUUUGAUCCUGGCUCAGGACGAACGCUGGCGGCGUGCCUAAUACAUGCAAGUCGAGCGGAUUGAUGGGAGCUUGCUCCCUGAUAUCAGCGGCGGACGGGUGAGUAACACGUGGGCAACCUGCCUGUAAGACUGGGAUAACUUCGGGAAACCGGAGCUAAUACCGGAUAAUCCUUUUCCUCUCAUGAGGAAAAGCUGAAAGACGGUUUCGGCUGUCACUUACAGAUGGGCCCGCGGCGCAUUAGCUAGUUGGUGAGGUAACGGCUCACCAAGGCGACGAUGCGUAGCCGACCUGAGAGGGUGAUCGGCUACACUGGGACUGAGACACGGCCCAGACUCCUACGGGAGGCAGCAGUAGGGAAUCUUCCACAAUGGACGAAAGUCUGAUGGAGCAACGCCGCGUGAGCGAUGAAGGCCUUCGGGUCGUAAAGAUGUGUUGUUAGGGAAGAACAAGUAUCGGAGUAACUGCCGGUACCUGACG